rnacentral:rRNA from 1 species
GACGAACGCUGGCGGCGUGCUUAACACAUGCAAGUCGAACGGAAAGGCCCCGUUUGGGGUACUCGCGUGGCGAACGGGUGAGUAACACGUGCGUAAGCUGCCCUUGACUGCGUGAUAACUUCAUGAAACUGGGGCUAAUACCUGAUAGGAAUGCUUUCUUCCUGGUGGGGGUUGGAAAGCUUGGGGGGUUUUGGCUGGACGUGCGGCCUUUCUGCUUGUUGGUGGGGUAGUGGCUUACCAAGGCUUUGACGGGUAGCCGGCCUGGGAGGGCGACCGGCCACAAUGGGACUGGGAUACGGCCCCGGCUCCUACGGGGGGGAGGAGGGGGGAAUAUUGAAACAUGGGCGGGAGCCUGAUGCAGCAACGCCGCGGGCGGGAUGACGGGCUUCGGGUUGGAAAACGGUUUCAGCAGGGGCGGAGCUUGUGGUGACGGUACCUGCAGAAGAAGCACCGGCUAACUACGUG